AUUGAACGCUGGCGGCAUGCCUUACACAUGCAAGUCGAACGGCAGCAUGGAGAGCUUGCUCUCUGAUGGCGAGUGGCGAACGGGUGAGUAAUGCAUCGGAACGUACCGUGUAAUGGGGGAUAACGUAGCGAAAGUUACGCUAAUACCGCAUACGACCUGAGGGUGAAAGCAGGGGAUCGCAAGACCUUGCGUUAUACGAGCGGCCGAUGUCAGAUUAGCUAGUUGGUGAGGUAAAGGCUCACCAAGGCGACGAUCUGUAGUGGGUCGGAGAGGAUGAUCCGCCAAACUGGGACUGGGACACGGCCCAGACUCCUACGGGAGGCAGCAGUGGGGAAUUUUGGACAAUGGGGGCAACCCUGAUCCAGCAAUGCCGCGUGAGUGAAGAAGGCCUUCGGGUUGUAAAGCUCUUUUGUCAGGGAAGAAACAGCAGCCGGUUAAUACCCGGUUGUUCUGACGGUACCCAAAGAAUAAGCACCGGCUAACUUCGUGCCAGCCGCCGCGGUAA
rnacentral:rRNA from 1 species